rnacentral:misc_RNA from 1 species
CGGAGCUCUAUUUGAGGAUAAGCCUCAUUCUGCCAAUGACGCAUGGAGGAAGCUCCAUUCUGAUCCUUUGCUCAUCAUUCGGCAGCGUGAGCAACAAGCUCUUGCACGCGUAAAAAACAAUCCUAUUCAGAUGGCUAUGAUUCGAAAAACUGUUGAAGUGGAAAAACACAAGGACAAAAAUCCAAAUGACAAGAGAGAACGGAAGAAGCACCGCCAUAGUAAAUCUAAACUCCAUAAAGAUUCUUCUCCAGAAAGAGAUUAUGAUUCUGAAGAUGCCAGCCCUGAGAAGCAGAGAAGGAAACACG